GAGACCUACUCACCAUCGUUAUCUCUGUUGUGACUAACUCUAUUUUUCUCCCUUUGUCCGGUCGGAGCGCAGCAGUUCUUGGUCGCAUUGUGCAAUCGCCUUCUAAAGGCAAGAGCGAGCAAGACGCAAAGGGGAAAGAGAAUUACAGAAAAAAAAACAGUUUACUGUGUUGCUGCUCUGCUGCUGAUCCCUCCUGCCGCCGCCGCUGGUGACGAUGAUAUCGGAAUUGGACAGAGCCCAAACCGAUGGAGGGAGCUAGCCAAGACAAAGGUCGCUGUCGUCGCUCUCUCCCUCCUUUGGAAAUCAGCUUGUUGAUACAGCUUUGCAGGACCAUUCGCUGUUCUUUGGAGCUGAUGGGAGUUUAAUUACCAAAUAUGUACUACUGUACUCCGUACUAAUUAAGCAUAUAUAUAUGGUGUCAUGAAGAAAAAAUCAGUGUUGAUUGGCCUGAAAACUGAGAGGGCGACAAUUGGCAAGCUAAAAAGCGGUACACCUUUUAAUACCAGCAUAAAUUGGUGCACCUAUGAGAGAUGGUGACUACUGCAACCACACUGCGAUGGGCUUUGUCCAAAGAGGCACAACAAAGUAAAGGGAAGUCACAUAUAUAGCCCCUGAAGUUGAUGCUGCUUGUUCAGUGCAGUGUAAAACUGUAGCAGACUGGUAAUGAUAUUUUUUGUGGUUGACCGACCCUGCUGCUGUAUGUGGCGGCCGGGAGUAGGAAAACAUGAUAGAUUCUGUGAGGUAGAGUCAUGCAGUCAGUAGGUCCAAUCAGUUUGGCAUCCAUGCAUGGCAGUUUGAGGAUUCAUUUAAGGAGGAGAGAGAGAUCGAUCC